GAGGAAGCCGUCACACCCGGUACCGGCUCACCUCUCCCACGCUCCGCUACAACCAAAUCUCAUGAUCCAAUCUCUAGCUCCGGAACCAGCCCAUCCCUGCCAGCCUCCGCUCACCUCUAAUAAACUAUUUUUUACUACA